rnacentral:rRNA from 1 species
GACGAACGCUGGCGGCGUGCUUAACACAUGCAAGUCGAACGAAGUGGCGAACGGGUGAGUAACGCGUAAUCAACCUGCUCUUCAGAGGGGAACACCAGUUGGAAACGACUGCUAAUACCGCAUACGGAAGGAGGGGUUUGCGUUUGAUUGGCUAGUUGGAUGGGUAACGGCCCACCAAGGCGAUGAUCCGUAGCCGGUCUGAGAGGAUGAACGGCCACAUUGGGACUGAGACACGGCCCAGACGCCUACGGGAGGCAGCAGUGGGGAAUCUUCCGAAAUGGACGAAAGUCUGACGGAGCAACGCCGCGUGAGUGAUGACGGCCUUCGGGUUGUAAAGCUCUGUUAAUCGGGACGCGGUACCGGAAUAGAAAGCCACGGCUAACUACGUGCCAGCAGCCGCGGUAAUUC